UCGUCGUUAUCACCAUCAUGUGAAUUGUCAUUUCUGAUUUCCGCUUUUCUUUGCCGCACAGACUAUUGACGUUGAGAACCCACAUCUAAGACUGCAAAGCAAUGAGACGUGAUAUCCCAAUCUUUUGGAGGUUCGCGGUUCAAGCGUGCUAGUUUCGCAAACUCCUAAGAUUAAAAAGUUAAUGUAAGAAAAUUAUCUAUAAUUUUUGUAAUAAUUAAAUUGAUGAAAUUAGGGACCUGUUUCACGAUUAUCCCACCAUGCUUCGUCAGCCU